rnacentral:rRNA from 1 species
UACGUAGGUGGCGAGCGUUGUUCGGAUUUAUUGGGCGUAAAGGGUCCGCAGGAGGUUCCAUAAAUUCGAGGUGAAAUCCCGAAGCUCAACUUCGGAACUGCCUUGGAGACUGUGGGACUAGAGUGCUGGAGAGGUAAGCGGAAUUCCAGGUGUAGCGGUGGAAUGCGUAGAUAUCUGGAAGAACACCGAUGGCGAAGGCAGCUUACUGGACAGCAACUGACUCUCAUGGACGAAAGCGUGGGGAGCAAACAGG